GACGAACGCUGGCGGCGUGCCUAACACAUGCAAGUCGAACGGGAAGGUCCUGCUUUUUUGGGGUGCGCGAGUUGCGAACGGGUGAGUAACACUUGAGUUACCUGUCACUGACCUUGGGAUAACUUCAGGACACUGGGGCUAAUAGGGGAUAGGAGUUCCUGCUGUUUGGUGGGGGUUCGUAGGUUUCGGCGGUUGGGGAUGGACUCGCGGCUCAUCAGCUUGUUGGUUGGGUAGUGUCAUACCAUGGCCUGGAAAGGUAGCCGGCCUGGGAGGGUGACCGGCCACACUGGAACGGGGAUACGGCCCAGACUCCUACGGGAGGCAACAGAGCGGUAGAGUGCACAAUGGACUGAGGCCUAGUGCAACACCGCCACGUCCGGUAUGACAUCCUUCGGUUAGUAAUCCACUUUCGUCUGUCACGAAGCGUUAGUGACAGUAAUGGGUAAAGAAGCACCGGCUAACUACGUG
rnacentral:rRNA from 1 species